UAGGGAAUCUUCCGCAAUGGGCGAAAGCCUGACGGAGCAACGCCGCGUGAGUGAUGAAGGUCUUCGGAUCGUAAAACUCUGUUAUUAGGGAAGAACAAAUGUGUAAGUAACUAUGCACGUCUUGACGGUACCUAAUCAGAAAGCCACGGCUAACUACGUGCCAGCAGCCGCGGUAAUACGUAGGUGGCAAGCGUUAUCCGGAAUUAUUGGGCGUAAAGCGGGCGUAGGCGGUUUUUUAAGUCGGAUGUGAAAGCCCACGGCUCAACCGUGGAGGGUCAUUGGAAACUGGAAAACUUGAGAGCAGGAGAGGAAAGUGGAAUUCCAUGUGUAGCGGUGAAAUGCGCAGAGAUAUGGAGGAACACCAGGGGCGAAGGCGACGUACUGGAAUGUAACUGAAGCUGAUGUGCGAAAGCGUGGGGAUCAAACAGG
rnacentral:rRNA from 1 species